GUCAUACUCCCGCAAGAACUUUGUUGUUGCGCAAGAAAACCCAUUUGAUUAAUGGCUUUUAAUAUUUAAUACCUGUUAAACUAAAAACAACACGCUUUAGCACCUUUCACGCCUUUGAUCGCUGAAAUUCACCAUAACUUGAAAUCACUAGCCAUCCCACUCGCACCAUUUGGUGAAUUGUGUGAACUAGAGAUGCGCGCGUGGUGUCUGGACUUCGGACUUCGGGCGUCACAAACGAUUUUUGGACGAGAAAUAAAAAAAAACAUAUUCUUA
rnacentral:sRNA from 1 species